rnacentral:lncRNA from 1 species
AGGGGGGCCAAGCAGUAACCGAAAGGUUGCAGGAUCAAAUGAAGGUAAACAUCUGUCGUACUGCCCGAGCUAGGCAGUUCCCCGCUCAUGAUGAUGAGCUUUGUCCUCCUGAGGAGCUGAAGCACUGGAGCUUGCCUGGCCCUGAACAUGAAUUCUGCAGAGGACAGUUCUUCCUCUUCCACACAGAAGACCUCGGUCUGGGCCGACCAGCAAACAGCCACUCCACAGCUGGGAGUUAGCCCUCCGUCUCCCACACAGUGCUUUGGGGAUGGAGAAGGAACCAGCUCUGCUAACCCAUCUGAAACACCCAUUUCAACCAACCCUGCAACCCCAUCUGAAACACCAGUUUCAACCAACCCUUCUAGCCCAUCUCAAACACUUGUUUCACCCCAAAAAAAGAGGACAGCAGAGAAAGGAACCUUUGACGCAUCACAGCCACAGGGUGAACGUCGCAAGAGGGGGAGGCCACGCAAACACAAGAAACCCCAGACUGACACAGAACACCAGAUCCAUCAGGCCCAGUCCCCGACAGCUACACAUCCAUGUUUACAGCCAGAGGACCAAACAGAGGCUGUGACACUGACACCCAACUUACCUGUGAUACCUGAGGACAGGUGUCAGUCACCUGAUGCCCAAACAAAGGUUGAGACACAGCUCCAGUCACCCAGCUCACCUGUGCCUGAGGAUAAGUGCCAGUCACCUGAGGCCACCUUUGAACCACCAUGCCCCACCUUGGACUUACAGAGCACCAAUAAGGGACAGAGUAAGAACGGGCCCCAUCUCUCCAGUGCUUCUGUUGGACAAGGAGACCUAACAGGCCCUAAUGUUCUAACCACUGAUGGAUACACAUACUCACAGGCCAGGGAGAUGGGGGCUGAACCCAGCCAGAAUGACAGUAUCACUGCCACUGGGAUAUUUUUAAGCAAAUGUGCCAAAGGGCAAAGGACUCUGUGCCAGUCACCACAGAAUCUGAAAGAUGGGAGAAAGGCGGCUAAAAAAUCACAAAUUCAUAAGGUCGACCAGCAACAGGAGCGUGAGACUGUGACAAAUGGGGAAAAUACAUCUAAACCCUUACCGACUAUUAAGGUAGGACAGGAGAAUUGCCUGACACAAAAGACUGGGCGAAAAAGGAAAUAUACAAAAAAAUCACAGAGCCAUAAGGUAGACCAGCCAAGGGACACUGACCAGUCACAGGAGAGUGAGACAGUGAGAAAUGGGAAAAAGACAUCUAUAAAAUCACCAACCCAUAAGAUAGACUGGUCACAGGAGACGGUGAGAAAGAGAACAUAUACCAAAAAAUCUCAGACCCCUAAGGUUGACCAGUCACAGGAGGAGUUUGUAAAAAAUAAGAAAAAGGGCUCUAAAAUAUCUCCAACCCAUAAGGGAGAACAGUCACAAGAGAUGGUAAUAAAGAGGAAAUAUACAAAAAAAACACAGAGCCAUAAGGGAGACAAGCCACAGGAGACUGUGAGAAAUGGGAAAAAGACAACUAUGAAGUCACCAACUCAUCAGGUAGACCAGUCACAAGAGUUUGUAACAAAAAGGAAAAAGGUGUCUAAAAUAUCUUCAACCCACAAGGUAGACCACUCACAAGAAACUGUGAAAAAGAGGAAAUAUACAAAAAAAUCACAGACUCAGGAGGAGACUGGAAAAAAUACAUUGAUGAAAUCACUGACGAAUAAGGUAAACAAGGUGGCAUCGAAAAAAUCACAAAGCCAUACGGUAGAACAGUCACUGGGGAUUGACCAAUCACAAGAGACGGUGAGAAAGAGGAACUACACAAAAAAAUCACAGAAGCAUAAGGAUGACUCACAUGAGACUGUGAGAAAUGGGGAAAAGACAUCCAGAAAAUCACAGAAGCACAAGGUUGAGUUACGAGACACGGAACAGUCACAGGAGGAGACUGUAAAAAAAAGGAAAUAUACUAAGAAAUCAAAGACCCACAAGGUAGACUCAGGAGUCCUCUCAUUACUCCCUGUGUUAUCUGCAGACCUCUCCCCCAACCUUUCCUCUCCCACAUUCAGCCCUCCUGGGCUCCCAAAGAGAAAAUAUACCAAAAAAUCGCAGACCCUCAAGGUAGACUCAGAUGUCCCAUCCUCACUCAUUGUACUGUCUGCAGACCUCUCCUCCAGCCUGCAGAGUAGCCCUUCUGGCAUCUUCUCACCAAACGCACCUAAGAGAGUCAGAGGCAGACCUCAGCGGGACCAGCAGCAGCUUUUUCUUAGCUCCACGCCAGGCCCUCACCCCAGAUCCUCCACAGGAACAGACAACCCCUUCUCUGCCUCCCUGUCUCACCUGGGACCGGGCUCCAAGACAGAGGGCCCCCAGAACGCCUCACCCAUCACACCCUGGAAGCUGUUGGAACUAAGCCCUCUGGAGAAGGUACUGUAUUAUCAUCUUCAUCACUGAUUAGAAAUGUAUAUUUAUUUAACCUUUAAGGUUAAAACCUGUUUUCACUGUCAUUAUGGGUUAUUGAGUGUAGAUUGAGGGGAAAAAAUGUAUUUAAUCAAUUUUAGAAUAAGGCUGUAACAACAAAAUGUGGGAAAAGGAAAGGGGUCUGAAUACUUUCCGAAUGCACUGUAUUUCCUGUUUCUUCUAAAAAAAAAGUUGUCAUGAACCUCAGGUCACCACCUUCCUUUUCCUUUAACACUAUAUUACGUUGUCAGGUGAAUGGUCAAACACUGAAUAGUGCUCAGGAUUGUGGUCAGUGUUUAAAAGUAAUCACCGUUCAAUAACCUUCUCUCUUGCCUAUUGCAUUUCAAUCCAUUUAAAUGAAAUCCCAGUAUUCAUAUGUUCAAUACAGAAUUGUUCACCAAAAUAUAUGUAAUCUCUCCCAGACACACUUAGCUUUACCCGGUAGUAAACCUCGGGGUAGACCCAAAGUUAGGCCAAGGAAGAACUCGGCUACAGUGAAGGGAGUGAAAACUCAGGGUGGUAAGAAGAAGGUGAAGGCUGCAGCAGAGGGAGGGUCCCAGACCUUCAGCUCUGAGGGAGGCCCCCCAGCCAAACUCAGACGUAGAAGCAGGAAGGGCCAGACAGCAGAGGGAGCUGGCCUGCAGAGCGGCGACACUACCAGCACUGAGCCACUCCAACGCUCCAGACCAAGGUUUGAGCUGCAGGAGUCAGACUCACCAGACAAAGACACAGGAGAUGCCUCCCUGUCCUCAGACCUCUCCAUCGAGCUAAGCGUACAGGAAGACCGUGUAACAUCACUGACUCUUGAAGAGGAGGAUGAGCAAGACGAUGAGGAAGAUCUGCCCAGUUUCUUAAAUAACACAAAGCCACUGUCCAUAACAGAAGGAAUAUGUGUUUGGUGCAAAUUUAGAAACUAUCCUUUCUGGCCGGCAAUGGUGAAGAGUGUGAACCGUAAGCUGAAGAAAGCCAGCAUUGUGUUUAUUGACGACCUGCUGUUUGACAAAAAGAGGAUACAAAAAGGCUUUUCUGUGUCCCUAAAAACAUUGAAGCCUUUUGACUGUGAAGAGUCUGAUCAGCUAGUGGAUCAUCUGAGACCAGCCACCCAGACAGCUGAUGAAACUUCGAUGGCCACUGGCAGGCUGGAGAAGUGUGCGCUUCAUGGAGGAAUCACGGUUUCAACUAUCCUGGGCAGAUGGCAGACAGCGUCUAUGGGGUCGUGUGGGUGAGCGAUUUGCUGAUGUCAAUGUUGUGUACAUAGUGUUCCUUGUUGGCGGUGGGGUUAUGUUAUGGGCAGGCAUUAGCUACGGACAACAAACACAAUUGCAUUUUAUCGAUGGCAAUUUGAAUGCACAGAGAUACCGUAACGAGAUCCUGAAGCCCAUUGUCGUACCAUUAAUCUGCUGCCAUCACCUUAUGUGUUAGCUUGAUAAUGCACAGCCCCCUACAAAAUUCCUGGAAGCUGAAAAUGUCCCAGUUCUUCCAUGGCCUGCAUACGCACCAGCCAUGUCACCCAUUGAGCAACGUGUUCCAGUUCCCGCCAAUAUCCAGCAACUUCACACAGCCUUUGAAGAGGAGUGGGACAACAUUCCACAGGCCACAAUCAACAGCCUGAUCAACUCUAUGCGAAGGAGAUGUCGCAUUGCAUGAAGGCGGUCUGGUGGCCACACCAGAUACUGACAGGUUUUCUGAUCCACGCCCAAUUUAUUUAAAACAUUUUUUUUUAAUCUGUGACCAACAUAUUGCAUAUGUGUAUUCCCAGUCAUGUGAAAUCCAUAGAUUAAGGCCUAAUGCAUUUAUUUCAAUUGACUGAUUUCCUUAUAUGUAACAGUAAAAUCUUUUGAAAUUGUUUCAUGUUUCGUUUUAUGUUUUUGUUCAGUGUAUAUUUUGUCAUAAUUUCUGGUGACUGUUGUGUUGAUGUUUCCUGUUGUCUGUAGUGUAAAGCCAGAGAGAAGUAUGAUGCUGCCAUCAAAUGGUGUCUGGCGUUGAUAGCCGACUAUAGAAUCCGUAUCGGAUGCGGCUUCACCGGUUCCUUCAUUGAAUACUUUUCUGAUGACAUAAGCUGCCCAGUGAGAAAAUGCUACCCCCGGGGCACCUCAGACCUGACCUUCCCCAGUAAGCUAAUUCUAGAGGAGCAGUUCGUAACCUCUGACCCGGAAGGGGACGAUCAGGAGGGCAGCAAACGGCAGGAGGAGGAGAGGAGGCGGAAGCUGCUGCCUGACCGUUCCAAGGCUGCACGUAACCGUGCCAACGAGAAACUGGUGGACUUUGUCGUCAGGCAGCGCCGGGUGGAGACACGCCUUCUAGGCGUAAUCAGUGGUCAGCAGCAGUCUAAGUGGCUGCGUUGGUUCCUGGCGGCCAGUCGGUCAGUUGUGGACACGUACCUGGAGGACGAGGAGCAGCUGGACCAGGUGUACCAGUACCUGAGAGGGGUGUACGAGACCGCCCCCCUCACCGCACCCUGUCUGGCUGAUGUAGACCGCAUCCGCUUGGUACUGGACGUGCUGUUACCAGAGGCUAUUAUCUAUGCCAUAGCUGGAGUGGACGAGUUGUCACUGGUGAAGGCAGAAGACAAAUACCUGAAAGGGCCCCGUCUGAGUAAAAGGGAAAGAGAGGAGUUUGAUGCGAUGAUCGAGCAACAGAUGAAGAUGAAAGCAUCAAUCCGUCAGCGUCCUGCACACUGAACAUAACACAGCCUAAUUGGCUUCCAACCCUCAGACUAAGAGUGCCAUAGGGCUCUGGUCAAAAGUAGUUUGAAUAGUGCCAUUUGGGAUGCAGCCUCAGAAUGCCAGUGUCCUAAUCAAACGAUGCUUCUAAGCAUUAUAGGACAAUAAAUAAGUAAGUAGCCUUUUCCAAGCAAGAACAGCCAGUAAGGUAGAAGCCUCUUUCUGUACCGUGAAGCAGCUUGAUAUACAAGCACACCCUCUGGCCAGGACACUGGUCUAUCGCAGACAAUAAGAACCAUAUAUAACUGUCUCUAAAUGUGGCUCUGAGGACAAUCAACUGCUGUUGUACAUGCUAGCAGUGGUGUGACUUAACAAAACUACAUUGAAUUACCAAGUUAAUCAAAUCAUUGUCAAAUCAUCUGUGAUCGACUGGUCAAGAUUUACAGCUUCAACACGGAACUCCUGGGAGGGUGGGACCUCGUGCCAUUCAGACAGAUUUACGCCGCUGUUUGAAACUGGGACUUCAUUUUAGACCCACUGCAACAGUAUUUGAUCCAACAUGGUUGCCCGUUUAGGCUGUUCAACUGUAAAUACAGGACAUUAAAGAAGACACUGCUCUAUUUUUCUAUGGAAAAGUCUGCUCUUUUUAAAAAUAAAUAGUCAUAUUUGAACGUUCCAGUCUUAUUCUAUGGUCAUGUAAGGUUAGCUUGUUAGUAAGUUCAUGUACCCAUUUCCUGGUGACAGUGUUUAGAACAUCAAGCUAUACAACAUUCUGAAUGUGAAUCAUGUCAACUCAUCUAUAGUGAAUCCCAAAUGACACCCUAUUCCCUUUAUAGUGCACUUUUUUUGGAAAGGACCCAAGUAGUCCACUAGAUAGGGAACCAUUUGGGAUGCAACCCAUGACUUGCAAUGACAGUACAGGAACAAGACUAUUCCCCAAUGACAGGUCAAUAAUGAAUACAUGCAAGUCUGAUAAAGGAUUUUAUUUGUAUUAUAUACUGAACAAAAAUAUAAAUGCAAUAUGCAACAAUUUCAACAGUUCAUAUAAAGAAAUCAGUCAAUUGAAAUAAAGUCAAGUGGGCCCUAAUCUAUGGAUUUCACAUGACUGGGAAUACACAUAUGCAUCUGUUGGUCACAGAUAUCUUUAAAAAAUAGGUAGGAGUGUGGAUCAGAAAACUAGUCAGUUACUUGUGUGUCCACCAUUUGCCUCAUGCAGCGCGACACAUCCUUCGCAUAGAGUUGUUCAGGCUGUUGAUUGUGGCCUGUGGAAUGUUGUCCCACUCCUCUUCAAUGGCUGUUCAAAGUUUCUGGAUAUUGGCGGGAACUGGAACACGUCGUACGUGUCGAUCCAGAGCAUCCCAAACAUGCUCAAUGGGUGACAUGUCUGGUGAGUAUGCAGGCUAUGGAAGAACUGGGACAUUUUCAGCUUCCAGGAAUUGUGUACAGAUCCUUGCAACAUGCAGCUGUGCAUUAUCAUGCUAAAACAUUAGGUGAUGACGGUGGUUGAAUCGCACAACAAUGGGCCUCGGGAUCUCAUCACGGUAUCUCUGCAUUCAAAUUGCCAUCGAUAAAAUGUAAUUGUGUUCGUUGUCCAUAAUCCCACCGCCACCAUGGGGCACUCUGUUCACAACGUUGACAUCAGCAAACCGCUCGCCCACACAACGCCAUACACGUUGUGGUAUCCAGGAGGUCUACCCCGGGGGUUGGUGAUAGUGGGGAGGUACGUGCCGCGACGUUGGCUCCCUCUGCUGGGAGUACCCGGGGUGGGCACCACGACACUGAUG